CAGCCGCCGCGGGAAAACGGAGGGGGCUAGCGUUGUUCGGAAUUACUGGGCGUAAAGCGCACGUAGGCGGCUUGGUAAGUUAGAGGUGAAAGCCUGGAGCUCAACUCCAGAAUUGCCUUUAAGACUGCCGAGCUAGCAGGUGAGAGAGGUAAGUGGAAUUCCGAGUGUAGAGGUGAAAUUCGUAGAUAUUCGGAAGAACACCAGUGGCGAAGGCGGCUUACUGGCUCAUACUGGACGCUGAGGUGCGAAAGCGUGGGGAGCAAACAGGAUUAGAUACCCGGGUAGUCCCUGUCUCUUAUAC
rnacentral:rRNA from 1 species